rnacentral:misc_RNA from 1 species
GACAAUUCAUUAGCCAUCCAUCUGAUACUUAUGCUCUCUCCCUAAACUACCAAAUUAAGUAAACACAGCUCACUUCAAUAUGCAUUACAUAUAUGCACCCGCAGAGUCUGAUGAAUUGAAAAUUUACAAUGAAAUAUUCUAUAUUCUUCUGUUGUAUAUUUUCAUAUCCAGUCGGCAAUUUGAAACUUUUUUUUCACCUUUUCUGUUUUAGAAGAAAUGAAGGGGCAGAGGAUGGGAGGUCACAUGGGGGAAGAUAUUGUUGCAGAGAGCUGACCUGACCUGACCUGACAAUGCCGGAGCUGAAACCAGAACUAAAAACCGAAACCAGUACUCUGCAACUGUUUUCCCAUACAUUCUCGCUCUUGCCUUCUCUUUCUCUCGAAGAAUUUGUUUCCUCGCUCGCUUUCUGUCUGCGUGCGUGUGGCAUUCCUCUGUAACGGAAAACAACGUGAAGCUUGAACUCAAACAUCACAUAAUUAUUUUUUUCCAGGUUCCCUGAUUUGCCCACCAAAAUCUGCAGUUGUUUACUCGCGGUGCCCCUGAUCGAAGUUACCGUUCGCAAUGUCUAGGCCGCUACCGGUAGGGUUUUUAUUUUAAUUUAUCAUUUAAUUUUAG